CUAGGGCACUAAAUGUAACCUCAGACCCAGGACGGCGCCAGCCGCUAAUGGGAGGCCCUUGAGGUGGCCUAGGCGGUACCCCUGAGCUGACAGCAUCACCCCACCCCGCACCCCCUCCCUUCUGUUUUGUUUUUCAUCUCCCCCCUCCUCCUCCCUCCAGUCCGCGACGGCUGGCUCUUAGACCCUCGCUGAAGAUUUGACUGACUCACGAUUCUGUCUAUAAAGUCUAAGUCAACUGGUCAUCAUAAAAGAUGGAGAACCAACAACCAGAAGGCUCUCCCUGCGAUUGGCCACACGUCCCUCCCCUCGGCUAAGCUCCCAGACGCCAGACCGAGGCAAAGGCCGCGAGGCCACGCGGAGCUCCCGGGGCGCCAGGCCCGGGCGGGUCACGCAGGAGAGGCGACGAAGGAAG